UGCUUCCUAAGCUGAGGGCGGGUUCCCUCCAGCUCGACGAACAGGAAUGGGCGGGAGCCGGCAGCGGGCUGAGCGAUGGCUGUGACUUGGCUUGUGCUGGGAUAUUGGCAACUCCCAUUUGUCGUGAUGUCCCAUCGGAUGGCUAAACCAAGACAUAGAACUGUGCCCAGCACCCUGUGAGAGGCACAGCCCCAGGAAGAGAGCAUGAGAAGAUACUUGCU
rnacentral:lncRNA from 1 species